CCUACGGGAGGCAGCAGUGAGGAAUAUUGGUCAAUGGGCGCGAGCCUGAACCAGCCAAGUAGCGUGAAGGAUGACUGCCCUACGGGUUGGAAACUUCUUUUAUAAAGGAAUAAAGUGAGGCACGUGUGCCUUUUUGUAUGUACUUUAUGAAUAAGGAUCGGCUAACUCCGUGCCAGCAGCCGAGGUAAUACGGAGGAUCUGAGCGUUAUCCGGAUUUAUUGGGUUUAAAGGGAGCGUAGAUGGGUUGUUAAGUCAGUUGUGAAAGUUUGCGGCUCAACCGUAAAAUUGCAAUUGAUACUGGCAGCCUUGAGUACAGUUGAGGUAGGUGGAAUUCGUGGUGUAGCGGUGAAAUGCGUAGAGAUCACGAAGAACUCCGAUUGCGAAGGCAGCUUACUAGACUGCCACUGACAUUGAUGCUCGAAAGUGUGGGUAUCAAACAGGAUUAGAUACCCGAGUAGUC
rnacentral:rRNA from 1 species